rnacentral:lncRNA from 1 species
AGGGCAUGCCCUGGGUCACUGGUUUCAUGGCAGCCUUCUUUACUGUGGACUCUGUUCCUCAACCAUGAGUGCAGGAGGAAUGCCCACCUACUCUUGUAUUUGUAUCAUUCCUCCUCACUCAGCUCUUCACUUCCCUGCAGAGCUUAAGAAAUCAGGGGUCAGCCGCUGAGCUGACCAUUUUUAUUGGUAUGCUAUGUUAAUUGAAAAGGUGGUUUCUGAGUGACAGGUUUUCUUCCCUGAUUUCUUUGUUGAUAUUAAUAGCAAAAGCAAACUUGCAAAACAACUUCUUUAACAAGGGAGGGAGAAUAUAAGAUGGGUGAUAUGCUAAUCCAAUCCUGCUGGACAAAAACUGAAGCUGACAGGUUACAUUUUUUAAAUAGUACAGACAGUUUCUGAUUUGCUUUGUGAUGACACCAUCUGGCUUAUGUACAGGAUCUCUCUUAGCUGUACCAUAAGCAGAAAAAAAUAUCACUACUCGUUUUAGUUAAACUAGGUUACAUUUUAAUAGUUCCUUUACAUCUAUUCUGAAUCGAUUUUUGUCUUCUGUGGUACAUGGGUUUUAUUAUAACAUUCUAAUAUUUGUCUUUGUAAAUACGAGAGACUCUUCGUUCCACUUCUCUAGGAAGUUUUGCAUCUUAUGGAGUUCUGAAUCAUGACUUUUGUCUUUAUGAAUGUAUAUGUUUUUUACUUGCAAAAGCCAAAAAUCAGUGAAACAGAGUGCAACUAAAGCAACACAAACUAAACUCCAAGUUUUCAAGUGAUGAUACUAGACAAAAACAGUGUACACAUGACUUUAUGUCUACUGCUUCUGCAGUGGGUUUGAGUGAGCAAUGGAAGCCGUAGAUUGGCUGUGUUCUCCCACACAAGCAAACAAGAGCUUGGUUUUUGCUUUUUGCCUUUUGGAGUUUGUUCUUUUUUGUUUUGUGUUGUUUUGCUUUCCUUGGCCAUCAAUGUUCCAGCUCAUAUGAUUGGCAGAGCAAAGCACUCUGCUCAACAGAGUGAAUGUUGCUGGUACACUAUGCUCACCUGUGAACGACUGGCCAUUUUUCCAUUCAUUUGGUAAGACAGAAGAUGAGGAUCAUUUCCUGGACAAGUCAAGGUGAUCAUCUCCAAAGAGGUUUACAGUACUUGAUGGGAAUGGAAUAUGAGGAUGAGAAAAAGAGGAGUAUCAUGGAGAAGGCCCAACUGGGAUGGACAGCAGACAGCUGCCAAAGUCACGAACUCUGAGAUUAAAGAAGAGUCGUGUAGUGCUUUCAACUCUCAUUUGCAGGGCAGCUCACUGUGUGUGGACUCUGAGCUGACAUGGGAGUUAGCUUCUUUGUUCCAUAGAUUUUCUAUGCCAUAGGCAAUAUUAUUGUUCUUGGAAAGUUCAUUAUUUUUUUAAAUUACCUUACUCUGAGAAAGGGAUUUUUUGAAGGAUUCUGUCAUAUAUCUUUCGAAAACAGAAAAUCAGUAAUAUGUAUAUUUUUAUGUAUGUUCACUGGCACUUAAAAAAGAAAAAAAAAGAGAAAAAAA